UACGUAGGCAGCGAGCGUUGUUCGGAGUUACUGGGCGUAAAGGGUGCGCAGGCGGUGGAGCAAGUCUGAUGUGAAAUCUCCCGGCUUAACCGGGAGGGUGCGUUAGAAACUGUUCUGCUGGAGUGAGGGAGAGGCAAGCGGAAUUCCUGGUGUAGCGGUGAAAUGCGUAGAUAUCAGGAGGAACACCCGUGGUGCAAGCGGCCACCUGGCAGAGUUCUGACGCUGAGGCACGAAAGCGUGGGGAGCGAACCGG
rnacentral:rRNA from 1 species